GAAAGCAAAGAAGGGCAUAUGGAGGAUGCCUAGGCUCUCGAAGGCGAAGAAGGACGUGAUAAGCUGCGAAAAGCUCCGGGGAGUGGCAAAUACACCGAGAUCCGGAGAUGUCCGAAUGGGGCAACCCGUCGAGGCUCGACCUCGACACACGCGAACGCGUGGGCGAACGUGGGGAACUGAAACAUCUAAGUACCCAUAGGAAGAGAAAAUAACAAUGAUUCCGCAAGUAGUGGCGAGCGAACGCGGAAGAGCCCAAACCGCAGGCGUAGCAAUGCGCCGUGCGGGGUUAUAGGACCGGCGCCACGAAGAACUGAAAGCUAGCCGAACCGACUGGAAAGUCGGGCCGCAGCGGGUGACAGCCCCGUAGGCGAAAGCGUUCAGCGAUUCCAGCCGGCACCUGAGUAACCCGGAGCACGAGGAAUUCCGGGCGAAUUAGCGGGGACCAUCCCGUAAGGCUAAAUACUAACGAGAGACCGAUAGCGAACCAGUACCGUGAGGGAAAGGUGAAAAGAACCUCGAACAGAGGAGUGCAACAGACCCUGAAACCAUAUGCCUACAAGCGGUCGGAGCGGCUCAGUGCCGUGACGGCGUGCCUUUUGCAUAAUGAACCUACGAGUCACCGUCGUUGGCAAGGUUAAGGACAAUGAUGUCCGGAGCCGAAGCGAAAGCGAGUCCGAACAGGGCGUUGGAGUCAGCGGAGGUGGACGCGAAACCAAGUGAUCUACCCUUGGGCAGGUUGAAGGACAGGUAAAACUGUCUGGAGGACCGAACCGGUAAGCGUUGAAAAGCUUUCGGAUGACCUGAGGGUAGGAGUGAAAGGCCAAUCAAACUUGGAGAUAGCUCGUACUCCCCGAAAUGUAUUUAGGUGCAGCCUCGGAGAGAAUCUGACGGAGGUAGAGCGACUGAUAGGAUGCGAGGGCUUCACCGCCUAUCAAGUCCUGACAAACUCCGAAUGCCGUCAGACAUAUCCGGGAGUAAGGGCGCGGGUGCUAAGGUCCGCGUCCGAGAGAGGAACAACUCAGACCAUCGGCUAAGGUCCCGAAAUCCGGGCUAAGUUGAAGACAAUAACGAGGUGGGAUUGCAUAGACAGCUAGGAUGUUGGCUUGGAAGCAGCCAUUCAUUUAAAGAGUGCGUAACAGCUCACUAGUCGAGUGAUCCCGCGUGGAUAAUAAUCGGGCAUAAGUCCGGUACCGAAGCCAUGGAAUCACGCUUAGGGCGUGAUUGGUAGGGGAGCAUUCCGUACAGCGGCGAAGGUCGGUGGCGAUGCCGGCUGGAGCGUACGGAAAAGCAAAUGUAGGUAUAAGUAACGAUAAUGGAGGCGAGAAACCUCCACGCCGAAAGACCAAGGUUUCCUGAUCAACGCUAAUCGGAUCAGGGUAAGUCGGGACCUAAGGGGCAGCCGCGAGGCGGACCCGAUGGAAGAAACGGUAAAGAUUCCGUUACUGUCGCCGGGAGUGAAGCGGGGACGGAGGAGUGACACCGCCGCGGACUGACGGAAUAGUCCGUUGAAGAGUGUAGGUAUUCGGAGGCCAGGCAAAUCCGGCCUUUGAGCUGAACUUGACAGUACUGCGAGCCUUCGGGCAAGCAGACAGCGCGGGUAAGCAGACUCCCAAGAAAAUCCGCUAAACAUAUGUCGGCGACACCCGUACCGCAAACGGACACACGUGGUCGGGUAGAACAUACUAAGGCGCUCGAGAGAUUCACCGUUAAGGAACUAGGCAAAUUGACCUCGUAACUUCGGGAUAAGGGGUCCCACAGCGAUGUGGGCGCAGAGAAUAGGUCCAGGCAACUGUUUAACAAAAACACAGGGCUGUGCCAAAUCUAAAGAUGAAGUAUACAGCCUGACACCUGCCCGGUGCCGGAAGGUUAAGAGGAGAAGUCAUCGCAAGAGAAGCUUUGAAUUGAAGCCCCGGUAAACGGCGGCCGUAACUAUAACGGUCCUAAGGUAGCGAAAUUCCUUGUCGGGUAAGUUCCGACCUGCACGAAUGGUGUAAUGAUCUGGACACUGUCUCAACGGUGAGCUCGGUGAAAUUGUAGUAUCGGUGAAGAUGCCGAUUACCCGCAACGGGACGAAAAGACCCCGUGAACCUUUACUGCAGCUUAGCAUUGGGACCGGGUGCGUGAUGUGUAGGAUAGUCCGGAGACAGCGAAGCGGGGGCGCCAGCCCUCGCGGAGUCGACGUUGAAAUACGGACCUUUGCGCAUCUGGUCUCUAACUCGCGGAAAGCGAGGACACUGCUUGGUGGGUAGUUUGACUGGGGUGGUCGCCUCCAAAA
rnacentral:rRNA from 1 species